rnacentral:rRNA from 1 species
UCACCAAGGCAAUGACACCUAACUGGUUUGAGAGGAUGAUCAAUCGCACUGGAACUGAGACACGGUCCAGACUCCUACGGGAGGCAGCAGUGGGGAAUAUUGCACAAUGGACGAAAGUCUGAUGCAGCAACGCCGCGUGGAGGAUGACACAUUUCGGUGCGUAAACUCCUUUUAUAUAGGAAGAUAAUGACGGUACUAUAUGAAUAAGCACCGGCUAACUCCGUGCCAGCAGCCGCGGUAAUACGGAGGGUGCAAGCGUUACUCGGAAUUACUGGGCGUAAAGAGCGUGUAGGCGGGUAAAUAAGUUGGAAGUGAAAUCCUAUGGCUCAACCAUAGAACUGCUUCCAAAACUGUUAACCUAGAAUGUGGGAGAGGUAGAUGGAAUUUCUGGUGUAGGGGUAAAAUCCGUAGAUAUCAGAAGGAAUACCGAUUGCGAAGGCGAUCUACUGGAACACUAUUGACGCUGAGACGCGAAAGCGUGGGGAGCAAACAGGAUUAGAUACCCUGGUAGUCCACGCCCUAAACGAUGUACACUAGUUGUUGUGAGGCUAGACCUUGCAGUAAUGCAGUUAACACAUUAAGUGUACCGCCUGGGGAGUACGGUCGCAAGAUUAAAACUCAAAGGAAUAGACGGGGACCCGCACAAGCGGUGGAGCAUGUGGUUUAAUUCGACAUACGCGAAGAACCUUACCUGGUCUUGACAUAGAAAGAACUUUCCAGAGAUGGAUUGGUGCCUGCUUGCAGGAGCUUUCAUACAGGUGCUGCACGGCUGUCGUCAGCUCGUGUCGUGAGAUGUUGGGUUAAGUCCCGCAACGAGCGCAACCCUCGUCGUUAGUUGCUAACAGUUCGGCUGAGAACUCUAACGAGACUGCCUACGCAAGUAGGAGGAAGGUGAGGACGACGUCAAGUCAUCAUGGCCCUUACGACCAGGGCUACACACGUGCUACAAUGGGGUAUACAAAGAGCAGCGAUACGGUGACGUGGAGCGAAUCUCAAAAAUGCCUCCCAGUUCGGAUAGUAGUCUGCAACUCGACUACUUGAAGUUGGAAUCGCUAGUAAUCGUAGAUCAGCUAUGCUACGGUGAAUACGUUCCCGGGUCUUGUACUCACCGCCCGUCACACCAUGGGAGUUGAAUUCAUUCGAAGCGGGGAUGCUAAAAUAGCUACCUUCCACAGUGGAUUUAGCGACUGGGGUGAAGUCGUAACAAGGUAACCGUAGGAGAACCUGCGGUUG